GAGGGUAGGGGUGAAAGGCUAAUCAAACUUGGAGAUAGCUCGUACUCCCCGAAAUGCAUUUAGGUGCAGCCUUGCGGGUUACUGAUGUGAGGUAGAGCGACUGAUUGGAUGCGAGGGCUUCACCGCCUAUCAAGUCCUGACAAACUCCGAAUGCGCAUCAGUUCUACCGCAGGAGUGAGGGCAUGGGUGCUAAGGUCCGUGCCCGAGAGGAGAAGAAUCCGGACCACCUGCUAAGGUCCCGAAAUGACAGCUAAGUUAAACUAACGAAGUCUGACUGCUAAGACAGCUAGGAUGUUGGCUUGGAAGCAGCCAUUCAUUUAAAGAGUGCGUAACAGCUCACUAGUCGAGGAAUCGGGCGUGGAUAAUAAUCGGGUAUCAAGUUGUCUACCGAAGCCGUGGGAUCAGCAAUGAUCGGUAGGGGAGCAUUCCAUUCUGCGUCGAAGGCGUGGCGUGAGCCAUUCUGGAGCGUAUGGAAAAGCAAAUGUAGGUAUAAGUAACGAUAAAGGGGGUGAGAAACCCCCUCGCCGAAAGACUAAGGUUUCCUGAUCAACGCUAAUCGGAUCAGGGUCAGUCGGGUCCUAAGGCUCAGCCGAACGGCGAGGCCGAUGGCAGAAACGGUUAAUAUUCCGUUACUACCUUUGAGGGUGACGUGGGGAAGCAGUAGUGACACUGCCGCGGGCUGACGGAAUAGCCCGUUAAAGAGUGUAGGCGUUGAUUUCCGCAGGCAAAUCCACGGAAAGAGCCGAACUUGACAGUAUGGAGCGUCCUUCGGGACAAUCCAAUAGCGCAGGUAAUCAGACUGCCGAGAAAAUCCGCUAAACAUAACUUCAGAGGUACCCGUACCGCAAACGGACACACGUAGUCGGGUUGAAUAUACUAAGGCGCUUGGGUGAAUCACGGUUAAGGAACUAGGCAAACUGACCCUGUAACUUCGGGAUAAAGGGUCCCUCCUCGCAAGAGAGGGCGCAGAGAAUAGGUCCAGGCAACUGUUUAACAAAAACACAGGGCUGUGCGAAUAUGAAAGUAGAAGUAUACAGCCUGACACCUGCCCGGUGCUGGAAGGUUAAGAGGAGAUGUCAUCGCAAGAGAAGCAUUGAAUUGAAGCCCCAGUAAACGGCGGCCGUAACUAUAACGGUCCUAAGGUAGCGAAAUUCCUUGUCGGGUAAGUUCCGACCUGCACGAAUGGUGUAAUGAUCCGGACGCUGUCUCAACCGUGAGCCCAGUGAAAUUGUAGUAUCGGUGAAGAUGCCGAUUACCCGCGAUGGGACGAAAAGACCCCGUGAACCUUUACUAUAGCUUAGCAUUGAAUUUGGGCACGCGAUGUGUAGGAUAGGUCGGAGGCUUUGAAGCAGGCACGCCAGUGUUUGUGGAGCCGCUGUUGAAAUACGACCCUUUGUUUGUUUGAAUUCUAACUCUUGGUAAGAGGACAUUGCUUGGUGGGUAGUUUGACUGGGGUGGUCGCCUCCAAAAGCGUAACGGAGGCUUCUAAAGGUGCCCUCAGGACGAUCGGUAACCGUCCGCAGAGUGUAAUGGCAGAAGGGCGCUUGACUGGGAGACAGACAAGUCGAGCAGGUAGGAAACUAGAGCAUAGUGAUCCGGUGUUUCCGUAUGGAAGGGACAUCGCUCAAAGGAUAAAAGGUACUCCGGGGAUAACAGGCUGAUCCCUCCCAAGAGCUCAUAUCGACGGAGUGGUUUGGC
rnacentral:rRNA from 1 species